AAACUAGUAAGUUAAAUAAACUGUGGGGUUCAUGUCUCCGUUAUACACGUUGUGUCUAGUUGA
rnacentral:tRNA from 1 species